CCUACGGGAGGCAGCAGUGGGGAAUAUUGCACAAUGGGGGAAACCCUGAUGCAGCGACGCCGCGUGAGUGAAGAAGUAAUUCGUUAUGUAAAGCUCUAUCAGCAGGGAAGAAAAUGACGGUACCUGAGUAAGAAGCCCCGUCUAACUACGUGCCAGCAGCCGCGGCAAUACGCAGGGGGCAAGCGUUAUCCGGAUUUACUGGGUGUAAAGGGAGCGUAGGCGGUGCAGCAAGUCAGAAGUGAAAGCCCGGGGCUCAACUCCGGGACUGCUUUUGAAACUGUUGAACUAGAUUGCAGGAGAGGUAAGUGGAAUUCCUGGUGUAGCGGUGAAAUGCGUAGAUAUUAGGAGGAACACCGGUGGCGAAGGCGGCUUACUGGACUGUAAAUGACGCUGAGGCUCGAAAGCGUGGGGAGCAAACAGGAUUAGAUACCCUUGUAGUC
rnacentral:rRNA from 1 species